GUGUCAGCAGCCGCGGUAAUACGUAGGGAGCGAGCGUUGUCCGGAUUUACUGGGCGUAAAGGGCGCGUAGGCGGUCUGCUAAGCAUGAAGUGAAAUCUCCAGGGCUCAACCCGGAAACCGCUUUGUGAACUGGCAGACUGGAGGAAGGCAGAGGUGAGUGGAAUUCCCGGUGUAGCGGUGACAUGCAUUGAUAUCGGGAGGAACACCCAUGGCGAAGGCAGCUCACUGGGCCUUUCCUGACGCUGAGGCGCGAAAGCGUGGGUAGCAAACAGAAUUAGAAACCCGUGUAGUCC
rnacentral:rRNA from 1 species